GACAUGUUUUUGUUUGCGAGUUUUGAUUUUGUUGUUGUGUGAAAAAACGUUUUUAGUUUCGAAUUACAAUAAUGAAUUAGAGGAAAUAAUCAUUUUGGUUUAAAGUAGAUUCAUCGCCAGAACAUGUGUGUUAGUGAACAGGUUCUUUAAUCAUGGAAUACCGGACGAUGCUGCGUCUCCAAAAAUGCCUUUACCUGAAUGUAUACCUUUUUGUGGUUUGGAUAAUCGUAGUUGGAUUCUUUCUGUACGAUAAGCUACAUAUCUUGGGCCAUCUCACAAAAUAUCUGUCUCUCACAGUGUUUACGCUACUUACAAUAAUAGAAUUUGCAAGACUUUACUUGGGUCACUAUGGGAACUUAUCCUGCAGAGUCCCAGAGCUUGCUGGAUUUCUGAUGUUGACAACCCUGAUGCAGAUGCCACUAGUUAGUUUCUUUUUAUUUAACCCUUAUUUACUGAGUACACCCACAGAGAUUAUUUUACAUGCAUGUUUAUGGUCCAUUACCAUUGCGGAAAUUAUAUUUAGUUAUUUAGCUUUGAAACAGGCCUCUAAUAUUGCUAAAAGUGUAUAUUUAAAACAUUCCAAAGAAUAAUGUUACUUAAUUAAGAAUACUCGUAAUAAAUACAAAAUGAAUGCA